ACGGGUUACCCGCGAGCUGGGCCAAAAUACCUGGGCUCCUGUAACCAAGGCCAGAAGAGCAAGAGGGUCCUGGGGGAUGAAGGGGCCUCCCCACCACCCUCGUGGAGUGGAUUUUUGAUGGGAGAACACGGAGCCGACCAGUGAAAACAAUGAAGAGCCACGUUCUCGGUUGCAGGCCGGGUUCCCAGGGAAGCAGUGUCUGAGAGGUCUAUUUGUGUGCAGGAGAUAUUGUUGUUCUGGAGCAGCCGAAGGACCACAUGACCCAGAAGAAGGCCAAGACCAGGGUUUUAAUCUUAGGGCGAGGACAUCAACUCGUUCUCCUCCGCAAAACGGAAAUAACACAGAAUGAGGUUCAUCAUCAGUUCAAAGAACGAUAUGGGGACGUUCAGCCUGGGGUUGUCUACAGAAGACACCGGACUGGCCGUGGACCGUUAUCAAUGGAACGAAGCACCCGACACACAGAAGGGAGGCCGAUCACACAGGGAAGGCUGGCUGCCAGAACGGACCCCAGCUGGGCAUCAGACGCCAUCCACUACCAGAGUCACAUCACCCCCAGGCCCACUUGGCCAGACCCUCAGCCUUGGCAGUCGCUCGUCAG